CUUAGGUUCUCGCAAAAGCACAAAAUGCAGUUAGGACUCACUAAGUUGCUUGGCUUUGCUUUUUGAAAAUUGGCAAACCAUAGUUUCAUAUUUGAGUUUUGGAAUCCACUCAAGAGAAUAUCAAUGCAUUGCUUAUGGGUCCUGAAUAUCUAAUUAAUAUCUCAUUUGUGGAUGACACAGAGGUACUUAAGAUUCCUUUAAUCCCAGCUGUGGUUGAUGGUAUUGGAACACAACUAAUGCAGCGAAGGCAGCUUUAUGCUGUUCCAAUGUCCAAGUUGAGAAUGCUGAUGAUCUGUUGUAUGGCUAAUCCUGAAGAAGGCUUGACAGUUGAAGAUGAAAAUGGGAACAUUGUCCGUGAAACCAUAAAGGGCAAUGAUAGUCUUGUUCAAUAUAAGUCUUGCAGACUAUGAGGGAGAGGUUAAUAUACUUGUCGCACCUUGACCAUCCAUGAGGAUACUGAAAAGCAAAAAAAAAGGGCAAAAGGAGAAGGAAAAUUCAGUGGCAAAUGACAGGACAGGUGGCAAAUCCUCAGGGAGCAGGACCACAAACAUAAGGAAGUGCACACGUCUUAUUUGGAGAGGAAUUUGAUACAGACCUGGAGUUAUCAAGCAGCAAGACCAUUAUAUCCAAGUUCAACGCCAGAAUACACCCAGCUGCAGUCACCAAUCUUUCCUCCUCAAGCAACAAUCAGAUAUAACAGUGCAGAAAAUAGAAUAGAUAAAUAUUGAGAUUGUGUCACAGAAGUUUGCGAUGUAAUUAAUGGAAAUAGACAGAUUUUUGUAUCGAGCAAUUUUUCUGAAUAUAAUACAAAUAAAGUUUACUGAAACUCUACUAGCUUUCCUUUUUACAUGAACAUCAAGAGCAAACUGAAAACAAGAAAUUGACACUCAAGGUCUAAUCCAUCUUCCUCCAGCUUUCAAGAGGCUGCUUCUCUCCCACUUUGUCUUUUCCUUUCAAAUUCUUCUCUGCCUUUGCUUUCUCCACCUCCAGGCCUAUAUCACUCUCAUUCCCUGCAUAACUGCCUUGUCAAUCCAGCCUUGCCACACCAUCAAUCGUGCAUAUACUAAUGGUCCCCUGCUUCUGUUGUGAUAUUGCUGCUGCUUCUUCAUUGUGUGCUUGUUGAUCUGCUACCUUUUCCUCAGCCUGCUGCUUGCCAUCUGUUUCUUGUAAUCUGGCACUUUUGCUCCUUUCCUCUUUUUCUUCCUUAUGUACUAACAGAGUUAAAGGCUGGAGGGAAAUAAGGAGCCGAAAAGGCAAGGAGAGGGGUACCUGGAAAGUUGACAGAAGUUGAGAGAAUCGAAGGAGAGUGCUGGCCUCUCGAAUGCCAAGCAAACCCCAUGAUUUUGUUGUUGGUUCUUUGUGUUUGGAACAUUACACCAGCUGGAUUUUGGUUGUCUGGAACCUUUUGUAAUUUUGUUUCAAUGUAUUAAGAUUGCUUUAUUCAGAUAUCAAUAAAAACGUUGUUCCAGAAUUUAUAUUGCACUGUUAUGUUGUUGUUGUUGUUGAAUUGUGUGGGUUUUGUGUGGAAAAGGGGAGUUUGAGUUGCAGGAAGCAGCCUAGAAAGUGAAGAGAGCAUGAGGCAGUGGUGUUGAAUAUCCAGGUACCUAUCAGAUUCAAGCUGAGCAUGAUACCCAGAAGAGGGACGAAUACUUGCCGAGGUUGAUGGCUCUUCCAACCUAGAAAUGGGCUGAAAUUCUAGCACAGGCACACCAAAGCGUUGAUUUUCUGAAAGAUCUAGAUGUCAUAAGGACUGUGCUAAAUAUUUU